rnacentral:rRNA from 1 species
CAGCAGCCGCGGUAAUACCGGCGGCCCGAGUGGCGGUCACUAUUAUUGGGCUUAAAGCGUCCGUAGCCGGGUUGGGAAGUCCUCCGGGAAAUCUGGCCGCUUAACGGUCAGAAUGCCGGAGGAUACUCCCAGCCUAGGGAGCGGGAGAGGCCGAGGGGAUUCCCGGGGUUGGGGUGAAAUCCUAUAAUCCCGGGAGGACCACCUGUGGCGAAGGCGCUCGGCUGGAACGCGUCCGACGGUGAGGGACGAAGGCCAGGGGAGCAAACCGGAUUAGAUACCCGGGUAGUCCUGGCUGUAAACGAUGCGGACUUUGUGUCGGACAAGCUAUGAGCUUGUCCGGUGCCGGAGGGAAACCGUUAAGUCCGCCGCCUGGGGAGUACGGCCGCAAGGCUGAAACUUAAAGGAAUUGGCGGG